rnacentral:rRNA from 1 species
GAUUAACGCUGGCGGCGUGCCUAACACAUGCAAGUCGAGCGGCAGCGAGUUUUACACUGAAUUCUGGAAGCUUCUAGUUGAAAGAGAAGAUUUAUUCAAGAAUUUUGUGUAAAAUGUCGGCGAGCGGCGGACGGCUGAGUAACGCGUGGGAACGUACCCCAAAGUGAGGGGUAACGCAUCGAAAGGUGUGCUAAUACCGCAUAUGGUCUUCGGAUUAAAGCCUUCGGGCGCUUUGGGAACGGCCUGCGUAAGAUUAGAUGGUUGGUGGGGUAAUGGCCUACCAAGUCGACGAUCCUUAACUGGUUGGAGAGGAUGAUCAGUCAGACUGGAACUGAGACACGGUCCAGACUGCUACGGGAGGCAGCAGUGAGGAAUCUUCCACAAUGGGCGAAAGCCUGAUGGAGCAACGCCGCGUGCAGGAUGAAGGCCUUCGGGUUGUAAACUGCUUUUAUAAGUGAGGAUUAUGACAGUAACUUAUGAAUAAGGAUCGGCUAACUACGUG